GUGCACCAGGCGAGAAUUUUUCUCAAUGGGGGAAACCCUGAAGGAGCGACGCCGCGUGGAGGAUGAAGGCUUUCGGGUUGUAAACUCCUGUCAUUUGAGAACAAGUGUAGCCAAAUAACUACUGGCUACUUGAUAGUAUCAGAAGAGGAAGGGACGGCUAACUCUGUGCCAGCAGCCGCGGUAAUACAGAGGUCCCAAGCGUUGUUCGGAUUCAUUGGGCGUAAAGGGUGCGUAGGUGGCGCCGUCAGUGGGGUGUGAAAUUUCGGGGCUUAACUCCGAAACUGCAUUCCAUACUGCGGUGCUUGAGGACUGGAGAGGAGACUGGAAUUCAUGGUGUAGCAGUGAAAUGCGUAGAGAUCAUGAGGAAGACCAGUGGCGAAGGCGGGUCUCUGGACAGUUCCUGACACUGAGGCACGAAGGCUAGGGGAGCGAACGGGAUUAGAUACCCCGGUAGU
rnacentral:rRNA from 1 species